UCCGGCUUAUCACCGGCGGUUACCUUAGAGUACCCAACUAAAUGCUGGCAACUAAGGUCGAGGGUUGCGCUCGUUGCGGGACUUAACCCAACAUCUCACGGCACGAGCUGACGACAGCCAUGCAGCACCUGUCACCUAUCCAGCCGAACUGAAGGGAUCCAUCUCUGGAUCCCGCGAUAGGGAUGUCAAACGCUGGUAAGGUUCUGCGCGUUGCUUCGAAUUAAACCACAUGCUCCACCGCUUGUGCAGGCCCCCGUCAAUUCCUUUGAGUUUUAAUCUUGCGACCGUACCCCCCAGGCGGAUAACUUAAUGCGUUAGCUGCGCCACCCAGGCUCCAUGAGCCCGGACAGCUAGUUAUCAUCGUUUACGGCGUGGACUAC
rnacentral:misc_RNA from 1 species